GCCUCCGCCCCGCCGCCGCCCCUCGGAAAAUAAUAAACAAUCGAGUAAAAUGCGGCGCGGCGGCCGCGCCCCCUCCCCUGGAGCUGCCCCUCGCCCGCAGCCCUGCCGCCGGAAAAGCCUUUCCUGAAGGCGCCGUGGCGCUCGCACGAAAAUUGCCUUCAGCCAGAAGCUACUGCUGCUCUGAAGACCAAGUAAAGCCAUCUCUCGGCUUUCCCCGAUCCUCUUGUCUCAAAGCUAAGUUGUGCCAGGCUGCAGGUGCCCUCCAGAUACGAGCUUCGAGGCAGUGGAGAUCUGUGUACGGUGGGAGGGGAAGGGACGGGCUGGGUACGUGUCUGGCAGCCAGGUGUGCCGAUCCAGUGUGCCAAAUACCUAGAGGCAGGGCAGAGACUGGGAGACCUGGAAGCCACACCUCUGAAACCGUGACGGUUGUCUUCGCGGGGCAAAAAUCGUCCCCGAGGUGACUGUCCUGUCCGCAUGAUGCUGUGCAGAGAGAUUCAUCCUCAAUUCUUACUUCGUUGUGGUGGUGCUUACACAGCACAGCCCUAAAAUAGCUCUCACAACCCUGCUUCCCUCUACCUGCAAACAGAAGGCGCGCUUGUACAGCAGGGGAUUUAACCGGGGACCAGGUGACGGGAAUGAGGGCUGCAGGAAAGGAUUUACCUUUUCUCAGGCUCGCAGCCUGGCCUCUCUUUUUGACAGCAGGUGCCCAAUACGGCCUAUUUCACUUCCUCCAAAGAAUUAAUUAUUUUCUCUUGUACGUGGCCCCUGGAGGAAGAAAUCUAAGCACCUCCCUCAUGCUGUCAUCCUGUAUUUCCAGUGAUCAGAGCACUUGUUCAGGAGCUGAAGAUGUGGCUCCUGGUCCUUUUCCCAGAACUUUGUGUUUUCUUCUCUGACAGAUGUUUGAUGUAAAGUACAUAGAGCACACUUUCAAAAGUGGACUGAAAUCCAAGGCUGCUCCCUUCCCUUCCCCAUGGCAAUGUUAUUACUGCUAGGUCAUGGCCUCUCCUUGAUUGCUCCCGUGAAUCCCGAAGCCCCACCCUGUUCCCCCAAGCAGCAGUACGGGUUCAACAGGCUGCUUGGAAAUGGAGCGCUUGUUAGGUUAGCCUGCCUCCCUGGUACGAUACUCUUCGGCAAGGUCAGAGCGAGGCAUCUGAACCCCGGCGGGCAGAAGAAGGAGAAAAUGACCUCGUGUCUCCUGGUGCGAGGGGCACUGCAAGGCACACAGGGGGAAGGAAAUCUCCCCUGGGAAGUUGAGGAAGGGUUCAAAGAGGUUGGUGAAGUGUUAAGCAAAAGCAGUCAGCGGCUUAGCACAUGGUGGGGAAGUCGAUUAUAAGCAUUUGCAGCUGGUUCUCUCUCUCUCUCCUACCUCGGAGGAACUGGGUAACUGCUGACUCAGGAGAUGCAGUCGGAGGAAUGGGAAGGGGGUCAUGUUUCCUGAGUGCCUGUACACGCCGCAGAGCGAUGGGAUAGCGCCGGGCACCUCCUGUCCCGUCUUGGAAGAGCCAUCACAGCGGCGUGCUCUAGGAAGCCAGAGCCUGCUGAAUGACAAGCUGUGGGGCAAUCUUUGCUCUCAGGGCCUGGGCAUUUCCCUUUCACUGGUUCAGCAAGGAUCAACAAGAAGAGGCCAAGUCUGACAAGUAAACCAUGCAUGGUUUGAUCCACCUGGCAAUGAACUCUGGAGGCAUGGGAGGCAACCUUUCUGCUUUUAUCAUGAACCUGAGAGCAGUAUAACCAUCUGGCUAGUUAUAAUUUAACAGAAACCCCAUUUUUCAUCUCACUGUGGUGGUAUGCUUUCUUUUAAAUGUCAACUGUAGAGUCUCUCAGUGAGUGGGAGCUUCAGUUUUGCUUUGUAUUUCUUACAGAUCCUGACAAAAACUAGUCCACCAGGUUACUGAGUAAGAGCCAUAUUCCUUCUUAGAGGCCAAAGCACACGAAAAAGAGUUUGCAGUAACUAUAAUACUUCAAUCAAAAUAUUUUUCAGUAUAUAUUUGUCAUUUAUAGCCAGUAGAAUAAUUGACUGGCUCUUUUAUUAAUUUUGAAAGCUUACAUUCUCAGCAGCUUUAUUAAGCAAGUAAAUUAAUCUUCAGCUUUCCUGUAGGACUGGAGCUUGUUCAUCAUGGCUGUGCCUUCCAUCAUUUUUUGGAAUGUUGGGACUAAUCAUGUGAGAAAAGAUCCUGGAGUGAUGAGGCAGCGUAUUUCCCAUGUCUGAGGUCAGGAUUUUUUCUGUGAAGCUGACCUUUAAAACAGCCUGAAAAUGAGGAACGUGGCACCAGCCAGCAGAGCAGGAAGCAUGAAAUUAUAGUCCUGAGGGACAAACAAAUGGAUAUAAGCACGUACUGUAUUUGUGAGACUAGCACUGGGAUGGCUUGCAUGUUAUAAAUUGAUGUUGAAAAAUGGAUGGUGGAACAUUAGAGCCACACAAAAUGAUUCAGAGCCUGAAGAAAAUGCUUCACAAUGGGAGACAUGAAGCACUUUGUCUCUUUAGUUUAUCAAAAAAGGCCGAGCAGAGAAUUGAUUAUGAUGGUGAAGGAACUUCCUUGGAAGAAAAAUAUCAGCCGUCAUACCUCUGGAAAGCAAUAGAAGUAUCUGCAUGAGCAAAGAUCUCCAGCACAGGAAAGUACAGAGGAUGUAAGAAGAAUAAGGCUUUGGCUGGAGGGAUGGAAGUGCUGAAGACCUGCAGCCACUGCUCUUCACAGAAUGGAGGGGAGCUUCUGAAGAUUUUCCAGUCUGAUCCCUCUGCCAAAGCAGGGUCACUUAGAGCAGGUGACACAGGAACAUGUCCAGGUGGAUUUGGAGUCUCUCCAGAGAAGGACACUUCACAGUCUCCACGGGCAGUCUAUUCCAGUAACAUAGUGAAAUUCUACCUCAUGUUGAGAUGGAACUUACUGUGUUUUAGUUCAUAUCCAUUGUUCCUCUACCUGUCACUGGGCAGCACCGAAAGUAGUCUGGCACCAUCCUCCUGGCUCCUGCCGUUGAGACAGGUGUAGAUGCAUUAAUGGGAUCCCUUCUCAGUCUUCUCUGCUCCAAACUAAACUUUCUGAAAGGGGUCUCAUCCCAGGCUAGUACAGCGUGUUUGCCUGACUUUGUUCUCGGCCUGGCAGUGACAGUCUGGGGUGUAUUUUCACCCUCUCCUUGCCAGGCCGCGGGCCCGCGCCGCCGCCGCCCGGCCACGGAGCGCGCCCGCCAUCUUGUGGGCUCUGCCCGCCUUGCAGGCCGCCCUCAGCCCAACCCUGCGGCGCUCGGGGCUUCAGCGGGAUCUCCAGAGCAGAUUUAGAAUAUGGAGGAUAGCUGGAACUAGAACAGGUUUCCAAAAAAAAGAUGCGGAUGCCCCUGUAAGUGUUCAAGGCCAGGUUGACUGGGGCUCUAAACAACCUGGUCUAGUGGAAGGUGUCCCGGCCCAUGGCAGGGAGGUGGGAACUUUAAGGUCCCUUCUAUCCCAAGCUGUUCUGUGAUUUUGCAAACAAGAGUAGGAGAAAGCCGAAAGCAGUGUCCUAAGGCAGGUGUUCCCUUUUACCUCUGGGAAAUGGCUGAUUGCAGAGGGAGUGGGUGUGUUUCCAGUGCCCCAGCAGGUCCAAGUCUUGUGGGGAACCUGGGCUAUUUGGAUGACUCUUGUUAUCCUAAGGAGAGGUACCCCCACAAUUCCUUGCCAAUCUAGGAUUUAAUAGCCCAAGCCUGCUAAUUUUUUACCAUCAGAGAGGCCAGGGUGUGCAGAUUCUGGAGAAGACAAGUGAAGAACAGGGAAUGCCAUUUGACUGGAAGCGCCACUGAAAUUGCAAUAAACAAUGAGGGCGUUUGAUGAGAAAUUGCCUGCUUGGCACUACUACAACAGCAUGCUGAAGAGAGAGUGAGGCAAGUGCAUGCACACUUCUUUAGAAAAGGCUGAGCAACAAAAUUUUUCCUCCUCUGAGGCAAGAAAAGGGAUUCCAACACACAGUGGAGCUAGAUGAUGGCGUAUGAUGUGCCCAACUACAAAAGCAUUCCUACAGAACUAGGGGCUAGCUUUCCCUUCUCAGUCAGUCUUUCAUGAUAAUUUACUGUUUAUCCUGCCUUAGCCCAGACUCUCUGUUUUGCCUGGAUAAUGGAACAGUGGUACAUCAAUUCACUUAAAAUACAGCAUUGAACUUGUCUGUUGUCACUGAUGGUAGAUGCACCAAAGUUAGAGGAGAGGGACCCACAGAUCCUAACAGCUUCCCUAACAUUUCCUUUCACCAGGAGCAUCUCAGCCCAAGUGAAACAGUAAAAUCUCCCUAGAACCUGUAGUAUGACAGGCUUUGUACACCUGCCCACAUGCAAGAGGGGCAUUCCCCCUUCCACAGGAGAUCUGUGGGGUGAAGGUAAUAGGAAGAUGGGAGUUUGUGUCUGUUUUAAGCCAAGAAAUGGGAAGCUCUGCUGAAACUCGUUUUGCCUUACUUUUACCGUCUGCUUAUCCUAUUAAUAUGCAAAAAGUAUUCAGCCAUCUUUCUGUUUGAAAGACAGGAGGUAAUAGAGUCCAACUUCUCUUUUGUAGGGACCCAUCUUCCACCCUAGUCAUGUACCUAAAUACAUUGGAGGAUUUUGACCCAAAGGCUGAGACUUCUGAAGCUCAUUUCUUGUUUGAGACAUAGGCACUAAUUAAAAUAGGCAUUGUGGCAUUAAUGGUUCAAUGGCUUCAGCUCUAAAUGAGCUGGCAAAGGUGUUCUCAGCCCAGAAUUUUUUUUCUAUUUCCAGCUGUUGCAGUUGAUCAGAGAAGCAGGUCAUAGGAUCACAGCAUCAUAGAAUAUGCUGAGUUGGAAGGAUCCCGCAGGAUCAUCUAAGUCCAACUCCUGGCCCUGCACAGCACCACCCCAAGAAGCACACCUUGCAUCUGAUAGCAUUGUGCAAAUGCUUCUUGAAUUCUCUCGGUCUUGCUGCUGUAAUCACUUCCCUGGGGAGCCUGUGCCCAGCUAAGGGUGAAGAACUUUUUCCUAGUACCCAACCCAACCCUCCCCUGGCCCAGUGUGAGGUCAUUCCCUGUCCAGGUCCUGUCGCUGGUCACCACAGAGAAGAGAUCAGUAUCUGCCCCUCCUCUUCCCCUUUCCACAGUGCUGCGUUCCAGCCUCUCAUUCCCCGUCUGUCCGUGCAUCCAGGAUGCAGAAUCCGCCCCAUCCCAGAUGCAGAGUCCAGCACUUUUCCUCAGUGAACUUCAUAUGGUUGGUGACUGCUCAGUCCUCUGAUUUGUCAAGGUCUCUGCUGGGCCUCCCUGCCCUUGAGGGCUUCAACAGCUUCUCCCAAUUUAGUAUCAUUGGCAAAUUUAUCCAGGAUCCCUUCAGAUUCUGCAUCCAAGUCACUCGUGAAGAUGUUGAAGAGCACAGGGCUGAAGAUGGAGCCCUGUGGAACUCCACUGGUGACAGGUCACCAGUCCAAUGUCACCCAUUCCCUAUAACCCUUUGUGCCUGAGUGGUGAGCCAGUGGCUCACCCAUGGCAUGAUGUGUUUAUCCAGCUGUGUGCCUGACCUUUUGUCCAGAAGGAUACAGUGAGAGACAGUAUUGAAUGCUUCACUGAAAUUCAAAAAGAUUACAUCAACUGGCUUCCCUUGACCAGCUAGGUGGGUUCCCGUGUUGUAAAAUGAAGUUUGACAAGCAAGACCUUCCCCUCAGGAAGCCAUACUGGCUGUGAUCGAUGGAUGGUGGUUUCCAGUUUCCCAGUUGAUAGUGCUCUCCUUGCAAACCUUGUUCCUCUUCCACACCAAGUCACUUACAACGCUUUGCUUCUGAUUCAUCAUCGCCACGUCAUUUUGGAAAACUGAAAUAAAUGCUGGACCAAACCAAGAACUGCAGGGCUGCCUGGAUGCUGUGGAGGUUAAAUAGCAGGAAGCCAGCUGUCAAACCUAUGAGUGUGACAAAAGGAAGAGCUGAGGUGGAGGAGUGGGAUGGAGGGUGCCCAAGCAGCACCAUGCAGGCCACCAAGGGCAAGAAAUGGGAUGAAAGGCAGUCUCUGUUCAGAGGGGGAACACUAGUUAGUCUGAAGAGGAAAAGGGAAUCUGGCAAGGACAAGGGUGCAGUUUUGUAAUGGUACAGAGGACCCCUGGAAAGACCUUGAAAUGAGAACAAUCAAUUAACAAGCUGCUGUGGCUUCAGAAAAGCCAUUAUAGACAUACUGAUGUAAUGAGCACAUCUGAUGCACAGAAGCUAUUUAACCUUCAGCCUCUUGCCUUGUAAAGCACCUCUGGGGCACUGGGUAAAGCUGUUAAUUAUUAAGGUCAACCCUAGCAGACAGAGGUGUCCUCAAGUAUGGAUUGCUGUGAUACACUCAGAUAAUUUCUCCAUUAUGUCAAUAACUAAUUUCCUGAAUUGUUCAAGAAUUGACAGAUUAGCAUCCAUUAAUCAAGUCUUAACUCAUGGCUAUGGGAGCAGUUACAGGCCACAAGGACUGCAGAACACAUUCAUAACUCCUUGAGCACAUGUAAUACAUAUACAUAGCAGCAGCUUGGUGUUGGUAAAACAAAUAACCAACAUAUGUAAAAAUGCUGGGCAGGCAGUGGCAGGCACCAGCUUGAGCAGGUGUCUUGAUGUUUGUCCUCAGGUGCUCUGAGAGCACAGGAUGAAGUCACUCUCACUUUUAAAGAACUGUGUAUUGAGGAAUUGUAAAUUAACUGAAUAAUAACCAAACCAAAAUACCUAUUAUAUUCACUACCAAAA